CUGCUGCCUCCCGUAGGAGUCUGGUCCGUGUCUCAGUACCAGUGUGGGGGACCUUCCUCUCAGAACCCCUACGCAUCGUCGCCUUGGUGGGCCGUUACCCCGCCAACUAGCUAAUGCGACGCAUGACCAUCCGUAGCCGGAAUCGCUUCCUUUAAAACCCGAGGAGAUGCCUCCUCGGGUUGUUACGCGGUAUUAGACGGAAUUUCUUCCGCUUAUCCCCCUGCUACGGGCAGGUUUCAUACGUGUUACUCACCCGUGCGCCGGUCGCCGGCGGGAGUA
rnacentral:rRNA from 1 species